AGGAUCCUCCUGGGCCAGCCAAUCUCAAUAGAGCAAGAUGCCAGCUGCUCCGGCGCCAGAAACAUCUCUGUGGCACCCGGUCCUCCUCAGUACUCUUCCUCUCUCCAAAGUCCCCUGUCCGGCUCUGGCAUUGCUCAAGUCAGGUUAGACCAAGGAAGUGACUUCCCCUCUGCUCCAGAUCCAAGGUCGGUUGCUUUUCCAGCUUACGGGGAGCCAUCCCGGCUCAAGUCUAGGUGGAAAGUGAAGGGUAGCCAGUUACCCUCAGCACCCCUGUCAUAGGAGGGUGACAUGGCUGCGGACUAAGACAGCGUCGAUGCACUGGGGGCUGCAGCAAAUUUUCAAAACAACGCAAAGCUGCAAGUUGCGGAAAUGACCCAAAAAUACAAAUCAUAAAAUGUCAGAAUGAAGCUCGGAGAUCCCAGUGCAAACUUUCCAACUAAAUAAAGCAAAAAUGAAGUCCACCUGGAGAAGAAUGUGCCCUGUUCAUCCGGCGUUGGCAAUACCAAACACGUCCUUGCCGACUUGGAAAUAAUCUCUUUCCUCCCAAGAAGAAGGAGUUGUGUUUCUCUGGUCAUUAAUCACACUUUUCCCAGUUCUAAAGCUUCAAACCUCUUGCUCAGCAUACUACACUGCUAAGUGUGACAGGAAAAAAUCAAAACAGAAGAAUGGAAAUACAUGAACUGGAAUUCACACCAGGAUCCUAUCACCUCAUCCUUCGUAAAACAUCAGAGGGAAAGGAGGGUGAGAUCCUGGGAGACCUGUGUGUUUAAAGAAAGGGCUGGAUAACUGA